UGCACAACACCUUCAGAACGAAAGAUGACGCAAAUCAGUCCCACCGUUGUCGGAAUUUGACACUGGUGACUUGAAGUUCUCACCAAUGCUCUAAUACCAUGUGAGAAAUAUAUGGAAAAAAAUAUUAUUGAAUUGUGUAUCUAAAUUUUACAUUAAGACCCUCUUUAUAGACACUACAUUAGAAUCCUUUUCCGACUAGAAAUCCUAUUCUUA
rnacentral:misc_RNA from 1 species